GGGCGGCGGGGUCCCCGGCCGCGGGCGCCUCGUCCCGGGAGGCGGCGGUGUCCGGUCGCGCCGCGGACCGCUCGGUGCCGUCGUCGACGCCC
rnacentral:tRNA from 1 species